rnacentral:rRNA from 1 species
GACGAACGCUGGCGGCGUGCUUAACACAUGCAAGUCGAACGGAAAGGCCCUGCUUUUGUGGGGUGCUCGAGUGGCGAACGGGUGAGUAACACGUGAGUAACCUGCCCUUGACUUUGGGAUAACUUCAGGAAACUAGGGCUAAUACCGGAUAGGAGCUCCUGCUGCAUGGUGGGGGUUGGAAAGUUUCGGCGGUUGGGGAUGGACUCGCGGCUUAUCAGCUUGUUGGUGGGGUAUUGGCUUACCAAGGCUUUGACGGGUAGCCGGCCUGAGAGGGUGACCGGCCACAUUGGGACUGAGAGACGGCCCAGACUCCUACGGGAGGCAGCAGUGGGGAAUAUUGCACAAUGGGCGGAAGCCUGAUGCAGCAACGCCGCGUGCGGGAUGACGGCCUUCGGGUUGUAAACCGCUUUCGCCUGUGACGAAGCGUGAGUGACGGUAAUGGGUAAAGAAGCACCGGCUAACUACGUG